rnacentral:tRNA from 1 species
GCGGGAAUAGCUCAGGGAUAGAGCACAACCUUGCCAAGGUUGGGGUCGCGAGUUCGAAUCUCGUUUCCCGCUCCA